rnacentral:tRNA from 1 species
GGAGAGAUGGCAGAGCGGUUGAAUGCGGCGGUCUUGAAAACCGCUGAGGGAAUAACUCCUUCCAGGGUUCGAAUCCCUGUCUCUCCA